ensembl:lncRNA
GUGCUUUUCACGCCAAGGGUGCAUAAUACGGCACAACACCGGUACGGAGCUGAAAACGCCCGGGUGGUGCUGAAAAACGGCGGCUUAAGCCUCUGGAGAUGGAAGUUAAAUGUUCAAAAUUGACAGAUCUAUUUGGUGCCGGGGUCCACACCCCAGCAGUGAUAAUCGGAGAUGUCGAUGAGGCCGUGAAACAUCCAACCGGCGCUACGAUCAUGUCUGUCUGAUGCGGGGUCUCGGAAUAAGCGCAGCUGCUGGUGGUCUGAACAACGUGGGACUGGGGCCAGCAGUUAGGGGCACAGCCUCAUGGGAUAGGCCUAAUGGAUGUGAAAAAGGUAAUAUAUGAUGAACCGAAGGAAAAGGUAGGCCUACCGCAUGACACAAGAUAAAGACUAUGCUUAACAAGAAUAUAAUAAUCAGCAGCCUGCACACAUUUAUUUUUAACUGUAAGUUAACUAUUUUCAUACAAUGCCAUUGUUUUGGCACAAAGUAUCUAAUUUUACAGGCCUCACUGGUCUGGUGAAUACUCUCUUCAUUCCUGCGGAAGUUAUUUUGAAAAUGUUAUUGCAUUCAGACGUUUCUUCCAUCACAUUAUGUUUCUUCCGUAGGCCAAAGAGCUGCACUGCCAUACAUUUUCCUGCGGGUUCGGGAAGGCCUAUGAUGUUGUAUGCAAUAAGGCGGGGACUAUGUACGAAUUACUUCAGACAUGCGAUAGGUUUAAAGAAAAGGCUUCCAAAAACCAAGGCAAAGAUCUUGUUAUUUUAACAUCUCAUAAAAGAGCUAUUAGUAUGCAUUUUCCAUAUCACAAAAUGACCGAGAUUGGCACUGAAACCCUCGUAAUUAGGUAGCCCUACAUCAGUGCAGGAAGGAACCAGACAACCACCACAAGCAGUAAGGACAAAAAGGAAUAUCGUGGAGAGAUGGCAAUAUUUGACGUGAAAACAACUGGCGAUACUAACAUUCUUACUAUGGUUAUGAACAAUUUGGGGCUGAGAUAGCGGAUGAGGUUACAGUGUAUGGCUACAAAGGUCAAACAGUGAGAGAAGUGCUGGAGCAAGAUGGACGUUUUAGUGACGAGGUAUUACAAAGCAAUUAUUAUCUGCAGGACACAAAGAAUGGUAUACGUACGGAAAAGUCCACCCAUGCAAAUUAUCUAGAUGGUAGAUGUUUCAAGAUAACAAGAGGUUACCGCUUAGAAACGCUGUGAUAGUUAAACGUCCGUGCGUGGUUUGCAACAUACUUAGGGUCCUUCAUGAUAACGCCACACUUACAUAUGGAUAUUAGCUAUAAGGCUAUCACCAGUAAUGAUAAAGAAGUGGUACAAGUUUUGUACAGAUUAUGUUUUGGUUCAUUGUUUGUUUUUUAUUGGUUUAUUAUUUGUAUGCAUUAUAUGUUGGUGUCA